AGCAGCCGCGGUAAUCCCAGCUCCAAUAGCGUAUAUUAAAGUUGUUGCAGUUAAAAAGCUCGUAGUUGAAUUUUGGAUUCUUCCAAUCGGUCCAUCUUUUAGAUGAGUACUGGUUGUGUGGGGUCUAUCCGCCUGGUGAUACGUAAUGUCCUUUAUUGGGUGUUGCGGGUAGUCAGGACCUUUACCUUGAAAAAGUUAGAGUGUUUAAAGCAGGCUUAUGCCGGAAUACAUUAGCAUGGAAUAAUAGAAUAGGACGAAGUUGUUUUAUUUUGUUGGUUUCUAGGACAACCGUAAUGAUUAAUAGGGAUAGUUGGGGGCAUUAGUAUUCAAUUGUCAGAGGUGAAAUUCUUGGAUUUAUUGAAGACUAACUACUGCGAAAGCAUUUGCCAAGGAUGUUUUCAUUAAUCAAGAACGAAAGUUAGGGGAUCGAAGACGAUCAGAUACCGUCGUAGUCUUAACCAUAAACUAUGCCGACUAGGGAUCGGGCGAUGUUGUUUCCAUGACUCGCUCGGCACCUUAUG
rnacentral:rRNA from 1 species